rnacentral:rRNA from 1 species
AACGAACGCUGGCGGCAUGCCUAACACAUGCGAGUCGAACGAGACCUUCGGGUCUAGUGGCGCACGGGUGCGUAACGCGUGGGAACCUGCCCUUAGGUUCGGAAUAACUCCCCGAAAGGGGUGCUAAUACCGGAUAAUGUCUUCGGACCAAAGAUUUAUCGCCUUUGGAUGGGCCCGCGUUGGAUUAGCUAGUUGGUAGGGUAAAAGCCUACCACGGCGCCGAUCCAUAGCUGGUCUGAGAGGCUGAUCAGCCACACUGGGACUAAGACGCGGCCCAGACUCCUACGGGAGGCAGCAGUGGGGAAUAGUGGACAAUGGGCGAAAGGCUGAUCCAGCAAUGCCGCGUGAGUGAUGAAGGCCUUAGGGUUGUAAAGCUCUUUUAACCGGGAUGAUAAUGACAGUACCGGGAGAAUAAGCUCCGGCUAACUCCGUG